rnacentral:SRP_RNA from 1 species
GCUGGGCACAGUGGCGCGUGCCUGUAGUCUCAGCUACUUGGGAGGCUGAGGUGGGAGGAUCACUUGAGCCCAGGAGUUCUGGGCUGUAGUGCACUAUGCUGAUUGGGUGUCCGCGCUAAGUUUGACAUCAAUAUGGUGACCUUUCGGGCGCAGGGGACCACCAGGUUGCCUAAGGAGGGGUGAACCGGCCCAGGUCGGAAAUGGAACAGGUCAAAACUCCAGUGCUGAUCAGUUGUGGGAUUGCACCUGUGAAUAGCCACUACACUCCAUCCUGGGCAACAUGGUGACACCCUGUCUCU